rnacentral:lncRNA from 1 species
GAUGGGAUCUAUCGAUCUUGAUAGAAGAAAGUAGUCUUAUGAAAUUUGAGAAGUUGAGUUCAUAAGUCUAUGGUCAUAGUAGUGUGAUUAAUGAAAAAAAAUUCAUUUAGAAUCACUAAUGGACUUGAGCUGGUCAGAUCUAUCAUAUGAUGAUGAUGAGUUUGAUGAUUUAUCCAUAACCUGCCAUCUAGUCGGGAUUCACGAUAG